ACUCCUACGGGAGGCAGCAGUGAGGAAUAUUGGUCAAUGGGCGGAAGCCUGAACCAGCCAUCCCGCGUGAAGGAAGAAGGCCUUAUGGGUUGUAAACUUCUUUUCUGUUUGAAGAAUAAGCUUGUCGUGACAAGUGAUGCCGGUAGGACAGGAAUAAGCAUCGGCUAACUCCGUGCCAGCAGCCGCGGUAAUACGGAGGAUGCAAGCGUUAUCCGGAUUUAUUGGGUUUAAAGGGUGCGCAGGUGGUUUAAUAAGUCAGUGGUGAAAGUCUGCCGCUUAACGGUAGGAUUGCCAUUGAUACUGUUGGACUUGAAUAUGGAUGAGGUAGGCGGAAUGUGUAGUGUAGCGGUGAAAUGCUUAGAUAUUACACAGAACACCGAUUGCGAAGGCAGCUUACUAAUCCAUGAUUGACGCUGAGGCACGAAAGCGUGGGGAUCAAACAGGAUUAGAUACCCUGGUAGUC
rnacentral:rRNA from 1 species